UGUGUGUGUGCGCGCGCGCGUGUGUGUGUGUGUGUAUGUGUGUGUGUAUGUAUGUGGGCAUGCAUGCAUAUAUGAGGGCUUAGGUGCACGAUUUUUCUUUCUCAAGGAUCAUGGCAGGAUCCCAGAACUCUUAUCCAAGUGAGAUCCAGGUCUCUGAAUAUCUUUUUGUAAAUAAUAAUUAAAAGCUCCUCACCAAAUUCAAGCUUGUAUAUUAUAUUUUCUUUCAAUGUUUUUAAAUUUAAGUUUUAUUGUUUUGUAUGUAAAUAUGUGGACCCAGGAACUGUUAUUAAUGAGCAAAAAGUUACUGUUCAGGGCAGUGAUUCUGUUCAAUAACCAGACAAAAAUGUAGACGAGCUUUUUAAAGCCAUAUAGUUUUAACUCUGUACAGUAGGUACCGGCCUGUAUUAUUGUAACAAUAACUCUAGCAAUGUAUAGUGUAUCUAUAUAGUUUGGAGUGCCUUCGCUUCCAUGUUUUUGGGUUUUUUUGUUUUGUUUUUGUUUUCUGACUUCCUUUAUCCAUGUGUCCCUGUGGCCCCCUUUCCCUCUGAGUAACAGCAGAACAGCACCUUUGCCCACUCCACAGUUUGAAUGGGGAGAGGAAACCAUGUUGGCAGUCUCACUUCAUUCUAGCCUUGCCUUUGUUUUUGGUUCUGGGUGUGUCUGUGUCCUCAGUAACAGUGACCGGUUUCAUUGCGGAUGCACUCAGUCCGUCCGGGACUUGGUGGAGCGCUGGGGGCCCCAGAGCUGAAGGGUGUCAGAUGGCAUGGGUUUGUUCAUCGCCUCUCCAAGCCCUGGAGUGGAUCCUAAGCAGAUUCUGGGAGCUCCCGAGCUUGCUCUCUCCUUACCUACUUCCCUCCCAAAUGAGAGAAAGAUUGGGUUUGUUUUAUUUUUAAAAAAAAAAAAAAUCACUGUCUUGGUGGCAUUUGGGUGCCCCCGUGACAUUGUUAGCAGUUACUGCAGGGGUGCUGUGCAGAUGAGGGCUGCGAGUGGACUCUGAGCCCGUUCCUCCCUCCUACCAUCUUGCUAGAUGAAAUAUCAUUUUAAUUUCUUUUUUUAAAAAUCAGUUUAACUGUGCCUAAUAUGGCCCAUUUGAAAGAAAAAAAAAAGUAUUCGUUUUGCCACCAACUACUUCAUGUGUCUUGAAUAGAAGAAG
rnacentral:lncRNA from 1 species